CAAAAUGAAUUUAAUUCACGCUUUAUUUAAAAUGUAAAUAGGGCUAAAGAGUGAAAAGGUGAGCUUUUUGUUCUAAUAAUAAAAUAAAUAUAAGUUAAUACUCAUAUUAUUAUAAAAAUAGGCUUAUAAGUAGCCAUUAUAAUAGGGUGUUUUAACCAAUACUGUUUAAGUAAAUAAUAUUUAAAAUAGCUUUAUUUUUGUAGUUUAACUUGUUAAUAAUUUAAAAAAUAAGAGGGAUUAUGUUGUUAUUAGUAUAAUUUUAUUAUAUUUAAGAAAAAAAAAAUUAGUUUUUAAAUAAUUUUAAGUAAAUUAUGAUAUUUAAAAAGAACUCGGCAAAUGUGAUUCUUACCUGUUUAACAAAAACAUGUCUAUAUGAAGGUGAAUAUAGUUUAACCUGCUCACUGAUUAAAUUAAAGAGCCGCAGUAUUUUGACUGUGCCAAGGUAGCAU
rnacentral:rRNA from 1 species